UACGUAGGGGGCUAGCGUUGUCCGGAAUCAUUGGGCGUAAAGCGCGCGUAGGCGGCCAGAUAAGUCCGGUGUGAAAGUCACAGGCUCAACCUGUGAAUGCCGCUGGAAACUGUCUGGCUAGAGUCCGGAAGGGGCGAGUGGAAUUCCUGGUGUAGCGGUGAAAUGCGCAGAUAUCGGGAGGAACACCUGUGGCGAAGGCGGCCCUCUGGCUGGAUACUGACGCUGAUACGCGAAAGCGUGGGGAGCAAACAGG
rnacentral:rRNA from 1 species